GACGUAGGGCGCGAGCGUUGUCCGGAUUUAUUGGGCGUAAAGAGCUCGUAGGCGGCUUGUCGCGUCGUCUGUGAAAUCCCCGCGGCUCAACUGCGGGCUGCAGUCGAUACGGGCAGGCUGGAGUUCGGUAGGGGAGACUGGAAUUCCUGGUGUAGCGGUGAAAUGCGCAGAUAUCAGGAGGAACACCGGUGGCGAAGGCGGGUCUCUGGGCCGAUACUGACGCUGAGGAGCGAAAGCGUGGGGAGCGAACAGG
rnacentral:rRNA from 1 species